rnacentral:misc_RNA from 1 species
AACAGUUACCUACCCUUAACGGUUUCUUCCUAUUUACGCAGGGUCUCUCUCUCCCUCUCUUCGCUAUUUGUCUGCUCUGCUUUUAAUACCAGUUCCAAAUAGAAAAUUUAGCCGCUAUAACAACUUGCUUAACAAAUAGCUACAAGAAUAAAGCUUGAUCAGCCCCAUCAUGUCUGAUGAUGAAGAAGCGCCUCCUGAUCUUGUCCCCGCAGAUAUUGUUAAGGUCCCUAUAACAAUCAUCACAGGAUUUUUAGGUGCCGGUAAAACAACAUUAUUGAAUUAUAUCUUGUCGGAAAACCAUGGGAAACGAAUUGCUGUAAUUUUGAAUGAAUUUGGAGAAGGAAGUUCCAUUGAGAAGUCUUUGUCAGUUGGUCAGAAGGGGGAAUUAUUUGAAGAAUGGCUGGAAUUACGAAAUGGAUGUUUGUGUUGCUCUGUCAAGGACAGUGGAGUGAAGGCCAUAGAAAAUCUCAUGCUAAAGAAAGGAAAAUUUGACUAUAUCUUAUUAGAGACGACAGGUUUAGCUGAUCCAGGACCAAUUGCAUCAAUGUUUUGGGUGGAUGAAGAAUUAUGCAGUGAUAUAUACUUGGAUGGUAUAAUCACUAUGAUUGAUGCCAAACAUUGCUUACAGCAUCUAAACGAAGUGAAGAAAGAUAACCUGGUUAACGAAUGUGCAAGACAGAUUGCAUUGGCAGAUCUUGUGGUUGUCAAUAAAGUGGAUCUGGUCUCAGAAACAGAACUCGCACAGGUGAAGGAGAGAAUAUCGACUAUAAACUCUUUGGCAGAACUGAUUGAAACCACUUAUGGCAGGGUUCACUUGGAUGUUGUGUUUGAUCUCAAUGCGUACAAUGCCUCAGGAACCGUUUCCAGCUCUGAAGAUAAUUUUAAGAAACAAAAACUCUUUGUGUCCCACAAUCCACAUCUUGAUCAGUCAAUAACAACUGUGACCUUUGACAUCAUGGAGUCUGUGACCAAAUCGGAUGUGGAGCAAUUCCUUCAGAACCUUCUUUGGGAGAAAACCAUUUGUGAUGCUGCCAGGAAUCCGAUGGAGGUCUUCAGGAUGAAAGCUCUUCUGUUUCUGGCUGACAACCCAAGGAGGGUUAUUCUCCAAUCUGUUCAUGAAUUAUUUGACUUUCAACAAACUACUGAAUGGACUGACACCGACAACAGGUGCUGCAGGUUCGUCUUUAUUGGUCGACAUUUGGACAAAGAUAUUCUCCAGAAGAAUCUUCUGACAUUUGUAGCCAAAGACAAACAUUAAAACUGAAUUUCUUGUGAAUUUUACACACACAUACACACACACACACACACACACACACACACACG